rnacentral:lncRNA from 1 species
GAAAGAAAAGCCAGACCAUUCAACUACUCUAUUCUUAAAACUCAUCAGUUACAUAUAAAUUUGGUGCAAUCCAGAGGUACAGACAGGGAAUGGUAUCUCUACUAACUACAAAAAGCAUCACUGAUACAUGAGAGUAGAAAUGUGUUACCAGUGCAGAUAUCGUCUGCUGUCUGGAUCCUCCCUUUCACCAGUUUCAUUUGAUACUAGCAGGCUGGUUAGCUGAUUCUUUAUUUGGACCCUGUACACUCAUUUGAUGUUACUACUUCAGGAAAAUAAUGACUAGCAAUUCAUUUCCAAUAGGCAAGAGUUCCGAAAGUGUAGAUGAGAUAUCUAAUAUGUACUCUACUUUAGUAUCAGUUACGAACCUUUGUUUCGAUGUAUAACCCCAUACAAGCUGUCAAGCUCGUUUAUUCUUGUUACUGCAGACACAAGUACCUCGACGUGAUUCAGCAACUGUUAACCACGAAGAAAAGGAAAGCUUAUAAAUCCACACAAACAAUAUCAUCUUCUCUUUUUUUGUUUGGACAAACACAAAACCAUCUUCUCUAUUGCAUGAAACCAUACCAAAAAAACUCUUAUUUGCAAUCCCCUUUUCCUACGUAGAGACCACCGACUUUACAAUUUUUUUUAAAUUGCAUCCAAUGGAAGUUUCAUAUAUGACGAUGAUUUACAACUCAUUAGUCAAUAAUCAAUAAACCACAAUGCAUAUUAGUUAUUUGGUUAAGAAGAUGAAAACUAUGGAGGAGCCUGAGUACAAUAAUUAUCUAGCCCAAUAAUCCCCAAUGGAUAACAUGCAUUUCUUAUACACAAUUACCAUAUCAUGAUAAGACAAAUCAGGAUCCUCCGAGGCUUAGACUGCCAAAUUUCUAUCUAAACUUGGUAAUUUAGAGCCUCUAUCUAAACUUGGUCUAAUAUUUCAGAAGGAAAGGGAUGGCUCACUACUGCUGAUCUGGUAACAGCAAGAUAAUCAAUCGAAAGCCAAUAAACCUGACCAACAAAAUUCACUCCGUGUUAAAAAAGAAAUCAAAGAAACAAGAGGCAAAUAAUAAUAAUACCAAACAGCUUUAAUCACAUAAGUAGCCCACAACUGAUAGGGAUAAAUUUGUUUUGCAUGCUUUAGCUAUAAAAUUAUGUUACUAAACCUCAACGUUUAUCACUUAAAAGUAAUCAAUUCUUCUUAUAUGACAUAAACACAAGAUAUCACAAGGCAUUUUAAUAUUUAAAUGGAUUAAAGGAGUGCCACCUAUCACAUUUUCCGACAUAACAAUAUGUAAAUCUUUGCAGGAAGCCAAAAAACACUUUGAGAAGAAAUACUGCAUGAUCAUAAAGUACUUUUUAAUGAAAAUGGUAAUUGAACCUAAUAUGCUAAAGGGUGCACCUUGUCCCAAGUUGUAGUUACGGAAGCUGUCCACAUAUCUCUAAUCUCUGCAGCUGUGGAACAAAUUCUUGAACUGUAGCUAGAAUCUUUAGCAAUCUGCAAGAGCAUUUCAGACAUUAGUUUUGGUCAUCUAAAAUAUUCCGUACUGAUCUUUUAUACAAAACAAAAGGAAACACUAAUAUAAUAUCAGAUUUAAUUAAAAGGAGGAUAGAAAUAGCAGAAUGUCCUUAUGUACUCCCCAGGAAUUAAUAAGCUUAUCUUCAUUUGUUAUUGAUGUUGAAGCCUAUUUCUAAUGCAGAAUAACAUAGUUUUUUUCUCAUAAACUCAAACAAAAUAAUGCAAUUAGGUCAAAGCUGAAAUCAAGACAUUUACCCUUACCUUUUUCUCAGUUAGGUUGUCCAGAAAAAGUCGAUCUCUCGAGGACAUAACACAUCUGGACAUCAUUCAGGGUAUCAAGUAUAAUUUGCUUCGAUUACGUUAGCUAGUUUGAAUCAAAGAAGAAGGUAUGCUGUUUCACCUGCCCAAUGGGGAUCAAAAGCUUAAGCAGAAGUGAGGACUAAAUAUCUGCUUCUGCAACAUAGAUGACUCUAAAGGAAAAUCAUGCAACAACCAACAAGCUAGAGAAAUUAACUUAUAGUGUACAAGUAAAAUUAGCAAAUGACGAGUAUAAAUAUUUGCAGCUAAGUUUAUCAUCCUAAGCACCCCGAUUAAGUUAACUGUUAAAGCAAAAUUCGGGCCAAUGUUCCAGCCAAAGAACUACGUACUAUCUAACUACCCCUUCAAGAUCUCUGAUUCAUCAUAUCUUUUCUUUAUCCCUUGAAAUAUUCAUUUAAUAACCAAACAACCUUGUUUAGACAUGAGAGUUCCAUGUCUUUAAAAAUAGGAGAGAACUUAGUAAAAUCAGGAUGCGUACCAGCAAUUCGAUGAUCUCUGGACCAUACUAAAAAAGCAUCCAUCUCGACAAUACAGAUCCAGAACAUGCAUCCAUCUCGGCAAUACAGAGAAACGGAAAGCUUAAAAAUCCGCACAAACAAAACCACUUUCGCUGCUGCGUGAAACCAUACAAAAAAAAAAGCAAUUAUUCUCAACACGUAGAAGAUUGCAACCUUCCAAAUCCAAUAGUGGUGAAUGGUGAUGAAUUGAAAUCAUGCAUUACCUUCUUAGUAUCCUUCAGUUUCCAUAAAACCUCUUCUUGCAAUGCUCUCAAACAACUGAGAAAGGAAUAAAACAUUCAGAAAUAUACAUGCCUCAGGUGGGAUCAAGUGUCUCAUGUGUAGCGUUCAGGACUUUUCAAAGCUAAAAACGACUUCAUCACAACUGACCACUGAUACUAGGACAUGAACCAAGAAAGAAAAACCAGACCAUUCAACUACUCUAUUCUUAAAACUCCUCAGUUACAUAUAAAUUUGGUGCAAUCCAGAGGUACAGACAGGGAAUGGUAUCUCUACUGGCUACAAAAAGCAUCACUGAUACAUGAGAGUAGAAAUGUGUUACCAGUGCAGAUAUCGUCUGCUGUCUGGAUCCUCCCUUUCACCAGUUUCAUUUGAUACUAGCAGGCUGGUUAGCUGAUUCUUUAUUUGGACCCUGUACACUCAUUUGAUGUUACUACUUCAGGAAAAUAAUGACUAGCAAUUCAUUUCCAAUAGGCAAGAGUUCCGAAAGUGUAGAUGAGAUAUCCAAUAUGUACUCUACUUUAGUAUCAGUUACGAACCUUU